UACGAAGGGGGCUAGCGUUGCUCGGAAUCACUGGGCGUAAAGGGUGCGUAGGCGGGUCUUUAAGUCCGGGGUGAAAUCCCGGGGCUCAACCCCAGAACUGCCUUUGAUACUGAGGAUCUUGAGUCCGGGAGAGGUGAGUGGAACUGCGAGUGUAGAGGUGAAAUUCGUAGAUAUUCGCAGGAACACCAAUGGCGAAGGCGGCUCACUGGCCCGGUACUGACGCUGAGGCACGAAAGCGUGGGGAGCAAACAGG
rnacentral:rRNA from 1 species